rnacentral:rRNA from 1 species
GACAAACGCUGGCGGGGUGCAUGAGACAUGCAAGUCGAACGGGGUUGAGCGGGCUUGCUCGAUCAACCUAGUGGCGGACGGCUGAGUAACGCGUAGGUGACCUACCCGGAAGUGGGGAAUAACUGCCCGAAAGGGUGGCUAAUACCGCAUGUGGUCGGCGAUUCGGUUCGCCGUGCAAAGCCGCAAGGCGCUUCCGGAGGGGCCUGCGUCCGAUUAGCUAGUUGGUGGGGUAAUGGCUCACCAAGGCGACGAUCCGGUAGCUGGUCUGAGAGGAUGAUCAGCCAGACUGGGACUGAGAACGGCCCAGACUCCUACGGGAGGCAGCAGUCGGGAAUUUUUGCCCAAUGGACGAAAGUCUGAGGCAGCAACUCCGCGUGAGGGACGAAGGCCUUCGGGUCGUAAACC